GGUGAACGCUAGCGGCAGGCCUAACACAUGCAAGUCGAGGGAGAAGCCCUUUCGAGGGCAGAAACCGGCGCACGGGUGCGUAACGCGGAUGCAACCUACCUUUCACAGGGUGAUAGCCCGAAGAAAUUGGAGUAAUACCCCAUAAUAUUAUUGGAUUGCAUCAUUUGAUAAUUAAAACGUCGGUGGGGAAAUAUGGGCAUGCGUGCGAUUAGCUAGUUGGAGUUGUUAGGGGACCCCAAGGCUACGAUAGGUAGGGGUCCUGAGGGGGAGAUCCACCACAAUGGUACUGCGACCGGGACCCGAAUGCUACGGGAGGCAGCAGUGAGGAAUAUUAGUCAAUGGUCGGAAGACUGACCAAGCCAUGCCGCGUGAAGGAAGAAUGGCUUAUGGGUUGUAAACUGCUUUUAUAUGGGAAGAAUAAGGCGUACGUGUACGUUGAUGACGGUACCAAAUGAAUAAGCAUCGGCUAACUCCGUG
rnacentral:rRNA from 1 species